rnacentral:lncRNA from 1 species
GCUGGUGGAGCGUCUCAGGAUGGCGCACACUCCAUUUCACCAGGUCCUGAUGCUGGCCGGUCAGUUAUUAAUUAUUGAGCGCAUAGGGAUACAGCAAGAGUUACUGGCCUCAAGGAUCUUAUCUUCCAGUGGGAGGGGAGGGAGAUAAUACACAUGGACACAAAUAAAUAGAUAAGAUGAAUUCAGGUACUGAAAACGGCUUUAAAAAACACAAAAUAAGGUAAUGGGAUGCCACUGGGGUGAGGGAUGCUGAGAUACCCUUCUGAAGAGAUGACAUUUGAGUUGGGGUGUUUGUAACUAGUCUAUUGAGAUGUCUUGAUGAAGAUAUUAAUAUAAAACUAUUUGAUUUCUUACAAAUGCUAUCCCCGACCCUGCGAUAUUUAUAGCAGCGUCCUUUACAGCAUAGACCCUUAUAAACCUCUGGGGAAAAAGAUGAGUUAAGGUCCGCUCAAAAGACAAAAAGCACUUUAAGUAUUUGAAACAGAGGGAAUUUGAUGCAGAUGAUAAGUUACACAAGUGAUGGAAAAGCUGAGAAGCUGAACAGGGCACAGUAAGACUAUCCAGAUAUUAUCAACAGAGGGGCAAAUGGAGGAAGACGUGUUCCCACAGCCCGGAGGCGAGGCUCAAACAGCAAAAGCUGGACCGCGCUGAGCCUGGAGGCAGAAGAGAAGAAGAGCCGGCAGCCAGCAACUGCACUGGAGGCAGAGAGGAUGGAAGGAAAAUGCCUGACUCCUCCCUUCCUCCUGCUUGCCAGUCCCUCACCUACCAAAGGAGCCAGAAGCCAGGCCCCGCUCCAUAGGGAACCUCUUAGUCUCCAGUUCACACACCCACGCGCAGUAGGUCAGUCGCUGAGCCAUCCCUGCGUGGAGACGGAGAAAGGUUUAUUUGAAUUCACCGAAACAAGAAGGCGGGAGGAGAGGUUCUCUUAAAUCUGCCUUAACCAGAGAAGAAAGCAGGGCGUUUUACAGAGCCAAGGGGCUUGGCAGGAGGAGUUUUGGAGAAACGAAGGGACCACUGUGACCUCUGUGUGCUGAAUGGACUGUGGGGGCGGCAUUGGAGGCGAAUGGACCGGUUAAUGAACUGUGGCAGCGAUGUUGCUGAGAGGUGACGGUGUCCCGAGCUGCGGCUGGAGCAGUGGAGAUGGAAUCGUAAUGAGGAAGUGAGCACAACGUCUUGCUCUGUGGAGAAGUGAACUGAGGGGGAAGUCGUGAGAGUUAGCUGUUAGCCGCCAGGCCUGCAGGAGGCUCCCGGCGAUGAGAACCAUGUCAGACACUUAGACUGUUUCCAUAUCUUGGCUACUGUGAAUGGUGCUGCAAUGAACACAGGAGUGCAGACAUACCUUCGAGACUGCCACUUGAGAACAAAACCGCGUGGGACAGCAGUUUCACAGAAGAAAUAGACAGUUGCAAGAUGCCCAAAGUGAUAAUAUUAUCUCACAUUUGUUCCAGUGUUUCACAGUUUCUCAGACAUUUUCU